UACGUAGGGCGCAAGCGUUAUCCGGAAUUAUUGGGCGUAAAGAGCUCGUAGGCGGUUUGUCGCGUCUGCCGUGAAAGUCCGGGGCUCAACUCCGGAUCUGCGGUGGGUACGGGCAGACUAGAGUGAUGUAGGGGAGACUGGAAUUCCUGGUGUAGCGGUGAAAUGCGCAGAUAUCAGGAGGAACACCAAUGGCGAAGGCAGAUCUCUGGGCCGUAACUGACGCUGAGGAGCGAAAGCAUGGGGAGCGAACAGG
rnacentral:rRNA from 1 species